rnacentral:rRNA from 1 species
UGGGGAAUUUUGGACAAUGGGCGAAAGCCUGAUCCAGCAAUGCCGCGUGUGUGAAGAAGGCCUUCGGGUUGUAAAGCACUUUUGUCCGGAAAGAAAUCCUUGGCUCUAAUACAGUCGGGGGAUGACGGUACCGGAAGAAUAAGCACCGGCUAACUACGUGCCAGCAGCCGCGGUAAUACGUAGGGUGCAAGCGUUAAUCGGAAUUACUGGGCGUAAAGCGUGCGCAGGCGGUUUGCUAAGACCGAUGUGAAAUCCCCGGGCUCAACCUGGGAACUGCAUUGGUGACUGGCAGGCUAGAGUAUGGCAGAGGGGGGUAGAAUUCCACGUGUAGCAGUGAAAUGCGUAGAGAUGUGGAGGAAUACCGAUGGCGAAGGCAGCCCCCUGGGCCAAUACUGACGCUCAUGCACGAAAGCGUGGGGAGCAAACAGGAUUAGAUACCCUGGUAGUCCACGCCCUAAACGAUGUCAACUAGUUGUUGGGGAUUCAUUUCCUAGUAACGUAGCUAACGCGUGAAGUUGACCGCCUGGGGA